rnacentral:rRNA from 1 species
CCUACGGGAGGCAGCAGUGGGGAAUAUUGCACAAUGGGCGAAAGCCUGAUCCAGCAACGCCGCGUGAAGGAAGAAGGGUUUCGGGUUGUAAACUUCUAUUAACAGGGACGAAAGAAAUGACGGUACCUGAACAAUAAGCCUCGGCUAACUACGUGCCAGCAGCCGCGGUAAUACGUAGGGGGCAAGCGUUAUCCGGAUUUAAUGGGUGUAAAGGGUGAGUAGGCGGCAUGGUAAGCCAGAUGUGAAAGCGUUGGGCUUAACCCGAGGAUUGCAUUUGAAACUAUCAGGCUUGAGUACUGGAGAGGCAGGCGGAAUUCCUGGUGUAGCGGUGAAAUGCGUAGAUAUCACGAAGAACCCCGAUUGCGAAGGCAGCUUGCUAAACUGUGACUGACGUUGAUGCUCGAAAGUGUGGGGAUCAAACAGGAUUAGAUACCCUUGUAGUC